CCUACGGGUGGCAGCAGUGGGGAAUAUUGGACAAUGGGCGAAAGCCUGAUCCAGCCAUGCCGCGUGUGUGAAGAAGGCCUUCGGGUUGUAAAGCACUUUCAGUGGGGAAGAAAGCCUUGGGGCUAAUACCCUCGAGGAAGGACAUCACCCACAGAAGAAGCACCGGCUAACUCCGUGCCAGCAGCCGCGGUAAUACGGAGGGUGCGAGCGUUAAUCGGAAUUACUGGGCGUAAAGCGCGCGUAGGCGGUCUGAUAAGCCGGUUGUGAAAGCCCCGGGCUCAACCUGGGAACGGCAUCCGGAACUGUCAGGCUAGAGUGCAGGAGAGGAAGGUAGAAUUCCCGGUGUAGCGGUGAAAUGCGUAGAGAUCGGGAGGAAUACCAGUGGCGAAGGCGGCCUUCUGGACUGACACUGACGCUGAGGCGCGAAAGCGUGGGUAGCAAACAGGAUUAGAUACCCGAGUAGUC
rnacentral:rRNA from 1 species